CCGGCGCUUACGCUAGAGACUCUCGAACCUGCACCGCAUAGCGCAGAGGGAGCAGCCUUGAUAGACAGGCAUUUGGCGUUACUCAACGCUAGCGACGACCCUGAGGCCACAGAGUUCAUGCCGUUGGUAGCCGUGAAAGACGAACCGCUUUCUGAAGGAGAACAACCGCAGCUGAGCGGCGAGGAUACGAGUGACUCGAGCGGCACACAGCCCGAGUCGGCGCCGCGCUGCAGCCCCAAGACUUGGACGCAGAAGGACAUGGACAACGCGCUGGAGGCGCUUCGGAAACACAACAUGAGCCUCACUAAAGGUAA